UUAGCUCAGCCGGUAGAGCAUCUCCCUUUUAAGGAGGGGGCCGUUGGUUCGAAUCCAA
rnacentral:tRNA from 1 species